rnacentral:lncRNA from 1 species
CUGCACGAGUCGGGUAAAGUGUAUUGAGUCUAUCAUCGUAAGCGGCAUCUUUGCUGCAGCCACGUAUGCAGCCAUUCCUUCAUGAAAUCUUUCCUGUGAAUAUACAAAGGUGGAAAGAGUAGAAUUAGAACCGCCAAGCACUAGUUCGGUCUGUUUCGAGUCGAGAUCGGCUGGUUUUGCUUUGCAACUCCUUAAUACGUGUCUAUUCAAAUGUGUUGUGCUCGAGCCCGGCUUCCAACUAAGUUCUUUGCCACAGUAAUUGCAACAUGCUUUCCAAAUAUCUACUCCAUUUUGAACACCAAUUUUUU